rnacentral:rRNA from 1 species
GACGAACGCUGGCGGCGUGCCUAACACAUGCAAGUCGAGCGGUCCGGCACUUAACCUUUUAGGUUGGGUGCUGGAUAGCGGCGAACGGGUGAGUAACGCGUGGGUGACCUGCCCGGGAGACCGGGAUAACAGCUCGAAAGGGCUGCUAAUACCGGAUGAUAUCUUUUGGCUGCGGCCAAGGGAUCAAAGCGUUUUAGCGCUCUCGGAUGGGCCCGCGUCCCAUUAGCUAGUUGGUGGGGUAAUGGCCUACCAAGGCGACGAUGGGUAGCCGGUCUGAGAGGAUGGUCGGCCACACUGGGACUGAGACACGGCCCAGACUCCUACGGGAGGCAGCAGUGGGGAAUUUUGCGCAAUGGGGGCAACCCUGACGCAGCGACGCCGCGUGGGUGAAGAAGGCCUUCGGGUUGUAAAGCUCUUUCAGCCGGGAAGAAAACGCACUCUCUAAUAUAGGGUGUGGAUGACGGUACCGGAAGAAGAAGCACCGGCUAACUACGUG